CCCGCCCAAACNCCNNCGGAAGCNNCCNUUGGGGAANNUUGCACAAUGGGCGCAAGCCUGAUGCAGCCAUGCCGCGUGUGUGAAGAAGGCCUUCGGGUUGUAAAGCACUUUCAGUCAGGAGGAAAGGUUAGUAGUUAAUACCUGCUAGCUGUGACGUUACUGACAGAAGAAGCA
rnacentral:rRNA from 1 species